UAAGGAAUAUUGGACAAUGGGCGCAAGCCUGAUCCAGCCAUGCCGCGUGAAGGAUGAAUGUCCUCUGGAUUGUAAACUUCUUUUAUUUGUGACGAAAAAAGAGCAUUCUUGCUCACUUGACGGUACCAAGUGAAUAAGCACCGGCUAACUCCGUGCCAGCAGCCGCGGUAAUACGGAGGGUGCAAGCGUUAUCCGGAUUCACUGGGUUUAAAGGGUGCGUAGGCGGGUAGGUAAGUCAGUGGUGAAAUCUCGGAGCUUAACUCCGAAACUGCCAUUGAUACUAUCUAUCUUGAAUAUUGUUGAGGUUUGCGGAAUAUGUCAUGUAGCGGUGAAAUGCAUAGAUAUGACAUAGAACACCUAUUGCGAAGGCAGCAGGCUAAACAUAUAUUGACGCUGAGGCACGAAAGCGUGGGGAUCAAACAGG
rnacentral:rRNA from 1 species